CAAUAGCGUAUAUUAAAGUUGUUGCAGUUAAAAAGCUCGUAGUUGGAUUUCUGGUGGGAGCGAUCGGUCUGGCGCUUAGCGCGAGUACUUGCAUCGUCUCCGGCCAUCCUUGGGGAGAGUCUGUCUGGCAUUAAGUUGUCGGGCAGAGGAUCCUCAUCGUUUACUGUGAAAAAAUUAGAGUGGUCAAAGCAGGCUUAUGCCGUUGAAUAUAUUAGCAUGGAAUAAUAAGAUAGGACUUUGGUACUAUUUUGUUGGUUUGCGCACCAAAGUAAUGAUUAAUAGGGACAGUUGGGGGUAUUCGUAUUCCGUUGUCAGAGGUGAAAUUCUUGGAUUUACGGAAGACGAACUACUGCGAAAGCAUUUACCAAGGAUGUUUUCAUUAA
rnacentral:rRNA from 1 species